CAUCAUACCAACUACAGGGUUGAUUUAUCUCCUAGUUGUUAUAUCCCAGGGAGUUAAUCAGAAAUUGAAGGAAAAAAGGAGCUGGUUGAAAUAUGCAGGAAUGAUGAAUCCGAGGACACCGUUUUGGCCAAAAAGAAGUUGACAGAUACUUAGGAAUUUCUUCUGGUUUUCUGUUCAUCUUCUUCCAGAGUCCCUUUUGUUUUCUUCUGGAUUGAGCUACGUGGCAGCAGAUGCAUAGAUUAGGGGUUGUUAUUUGUUUGUUGCUUUCAGAAUUAUUCCUUAAAUUAGUUGGUCUUCAA